UAAACCUCUUUUCUCAGGGAAGAAGCUCUGACGGUACCUGAGGAAUCAGCCUCGGCUAACUCCGUGCCAGCAGCCGCGGUAAUACGGAGGAGGCAAGCGUUAUCCGGAAUUAUUGGGCGUAAAGCGUCCGCAGGUGGCGAUUCAAGUCUGCUGUCACAGCACGGGGCUUAACUCCGUUAAGGCAGUGGAAACUUGAAUAGCUAGAGUGCCGUACGGGUAGAGGGAAUUCCCGGUGUAGCGGUGAAAUGCGUACAGAUCGGGAAGAACAUCGGUGGCGAAAGCGCUCUAACUGGACGGGCAACUGACACUCAUGGACGACAGCUAGGGGAGCGACUGGGAUUAGAUACCCCAGUAAUCCUAACUGUAAACGAUGGGAUAACUAAGUGUAGCUUGUAUUCGACCCCAAGCUGUGCCGAAAGCUAACGCGUUAAGUAAUCCCGCCUGGGGAGUACGCACGCAAGUGUUGAAACUCAAAGGAAUUGACGGGGGCCCGCACAANCGUUGGAGUAUGUGGUUUAAUUCGAUGCAACGCGAAGAACCUUACCAGGGCUUGACAUGUCCGGAAUCCCGGUGAAAGCUGGGAGUGCCUUCGGGAGCCGGUACACAGUUGGUGCAUGUCUGUCGUCAGCUCGUGUCGUGAGAUGUUGGCUUAAGUCCCGCAACGAGCGCAACCC
rnacentral:rRNA from 1 species